AGGCUUGUAGCUCAGUGGUACAGCACCUGGCUUGUAUGCAGAAGGUUCCAGGUUCAAUUCCCAGGAUGUCCA